CUGUUGCUGAGAGGAAAGUCCGGGCAGCUCGAGCCACCAUGCUUCCUAACGGGAAGGCACUUGGGUAGUUAACAAUUAAUAGAUAAAAGUUAAUAGUUAAUUGUUCGGGUGACAGCGAGCGCCACAGAAAACAAACCGCCUUUUAUCGUAAGGUGAGAGGUAAGGGUGAAAACGCGGGGUAAGAGCCCACGACGUGUCGCGGUGACGCGCACGAUGGCAAGCCUCAUGGGCUGAAAGACCAUGUAUACCGACAUGUAAGGGCUGGCUCGCCCGAAGGGUCGGGAGUUGUCGGCAAAGCCGACACCCACCCAUUGUCGGGGGGUAGGUUGAUUGAGACCGUCGGUGACGGCGGCCCUAGAUUGAUGAUAGAACACGACAGAACCCGGCUUACAGACCC
rnacentral:RNase_P_RNA from 1 species